UACGUAGGGGGCUAGCGUUGUCCGGAAUCAUUGGGCGUAAAGCGCGUGUAGGCGGCUCGGUAAGUCCGCUGUGAAAGUCGGGGGCUCAACCCUCGGAUGCGGGUGGAUACUGUCGAGCUUGAGUGCGGAAGAGGCGAGUGGAAUUCCUGGUGUAGCGGUGAAAUGCGCAGAUAUCAGGAGGAACACCAAUUGCGAAGGCAGCUCGCUGGGACGUUACUGACGCUGAGACGCGAAAGCGUGGGGAGCAAACAGG
rnacentral:rRNA from 1 species